AGUGAAGAAGGGUUUCGGCUCGUAAAGCUCUGUUGUUAAAGAAGAACGUGGGUGAGAGUAACUGUUCACCAGUGACGGUAUUUUAACCAGAAAGCCACGGCUAACUACGUGCCAGCAGCCGCGGUAAUACGUAGGUGGAAAGCGUUAUCCGGAUUUAUUGGGCGUAAAGCGAGCGCAGGCGGUCUUUAAGGUCUAAUGUGAAAGCCUUCGGCUCAACCGAAGCAGUGCAUUGGAAACUGGGAGACUUGAGUGCAGAAGAGGACAGUGGAACUCCAUGUGUAGCGGUGAAAUGCGUAGAUAUAUGGAAGAACACCAGUGGCGAAGGCGGAUGUCUGGUCUG
rnacentral:rRNA from 1 species